AACUAGUAAGACAGAGGAAUGACUCCCCUUCAACUAUCCCUUAAUCCAUUAUCACUCAGCCCACCCUCUCUAUGUUUCAUCAUCUCUCCUUCGGGGUUCUGCCUGGACACCAGGACAACAUAGGCAAACAUAAAGUAGUAACCCUUAAGUUUUCACCAGAAGGGCCUGGCUUUCCUCGCCACCAUAGCCAGGUUGACUGGCUAACCUGAAGCACAAGCAGUGAACAUUCCAGGUCUUUUGCUCCAUCCUCACCACCAAAAAAUUUUUGCUAGACGACUCCAGCCUUUCUCCAUAGGGCCGCGAUUUGAAUCAAGGCCAGAGCUUGGUUGAACUAUCCAUUUUUUCUUCUCUCCUGGCCCCCACCUAUAAGAGCCACGUCUGAUACGGGGGCACAGUUCUUUGAACAUGGGCAGCGGCUGUGCCUAUGAUCUCCCCACAGAACCUUUGGUAAGCCUGUUUCCAGAAGGGUGUGAUAGUAGGUAUCCUUACCCACUAUGUUACCUUUCCACUUAGGAGCUCCUACCGAUAUUCUCUAUUUCCCAUCCACUUAUUUUAGGUUAAUGACAUGCAUUGUAAUUACUUGUUGAGCAUGGAGAUCAAAGACAUGACUAAAAGGAAGAAUGCUGUCUCCCUAGUAGCUUUGGAGUGAUGAGGCAGAAAUACUGUGGACCACCAAGACGAGAGAGGUACCAUCAGCAUAAGCAUCAGGCCUUACUUGGCUGCCUCAUCUGGGGCCACCACGUGGCCAUGAACACACGCAAGGCCACUGAGCUCUGGAAGGACACGCUACAGCUGAGGAGUGGAGUGACUCAUGCCUCACGGAUGCCAAGUCCCGCAGCAAACGCUAUGAGGAGACUCCAGGGAGAAAAGGAAAGGAAUUUUUCUUUUUCUUGCCUUCCCCCAGGAGCAAUCAUGACAAUAAAUACAAGACAUUUUCUCUGGCUCUCUCCCAUGCCUGGAAUGCUUUUCCUCCUCACUCCCACCUCCCGUCAUGCUCCGGUCCCAGUUCAAAUCCAGCCUUCUGCAGGAAGCCUUUUCUCCUUGUCCCUAAGGUGAGUGUUUGGAUUCUCUCCCCUUUAUCCCACCUAGAUCUUUUUUUUUUUUUACCUAGUUGUUUGUAUGGUGUCUCCCUCACUAUACUGUGAGCUCUUUCAGAGCAAAGACGCUGUCUCCAGUACUUAGAACUAUGGCUGGCAUAUAGGAAGGAAGGGAAUAAACAUGUAGUAAAUGCCUAUGGUGUGCCAGGCCCUGUGCUAAGAGCUUUACAGAUAUUAUCCUAUGAGGUUCAUGCUAUUAUUAGCAUCCUCCUUUACAGUUGAGGACACUGAGGCAGAUAGAGGCUAAAGGGACUUGCCCAGGGUCUCACAGCUAUGAACAGUCUGACUGGAUUUGAAGUCAGGUUUUCCUAACUCCAGACUCAGUACUCUAUUCGAUGUGCCACCCAGCAGGUACUUAAUAAAUGCUUAUUGACUGAAUGACCAACCAUAGAUAUGAGUCACAACUAAGCUUUGUCUCAAAAGAGUUCCCCAAAAUAAACUCUGGGGCAGGGGAAUAACAGCUAGAGAAAGUUGGGCCCCCUCUUUUGGCUCAGCCCGUCCCUGUCCCCCAUGGACACUUUCCAUGUCAGCCCCAAGCAGAGCUCCUUUGGGCAAGGAGGCCCCAUAGGAAACUACACAUCUAUCAAGGUGUCUCUAGAGAGUCCUGUGUUGGCAUGCCAUCAUACCCCAUGGGAAAAAGAGAAGAGAACCCUGCCCGCUUCCUCUCUGACACUGGUUUUAAGUUGUGACCCCUGAUGGAUACCUCAUUUGUGGAGUGGGAGGGCUGAACGAGAAGAUCUCCAAGGGGUCCAACUGAACUCUAGGACUCGAAGAUUCUGGACUGUCUGUCCACUCAACCGGUUUUCUGUAGUGCAUUAGUGAUGGCACCACAUGCCUGUGUCCCCAGUCUGGCCCACUUACCUAGGUUCUCUCUGGUGACUACUUCAAAUGCUCUCCAUUUCCUUUUGGGUAGUGAGGUUCCAGAACUUUGGCUUUUGGGGCCCCAUCCCCAACUCCCCUUUCUCCACGUGGACACAGGACAAUAGUGUCUGAGGAAUGAAUGCUGGCUAGUGUGAGGACUGCAAUUCUCAGGGACACAGCUACUGUGGUGUGACUGGUCUUCAAGCCUUGCGCAUUGGUGUUGGAAAGUGGGUUGCUUGGGGGAUCAGACUUGUUUAAGAAAGAAACUCUGCCAUCCCAUGUCCACCUUGCCAAA